rnacentral:misc_RNA from 1 species
UUGUGGAGGAGGACGCCGAAGGUGGGGCUAAUGACUGGGGUGAAGUCGUAACAAGGUAGCCGUACCGGAAGGUGCGGCUGGAUCACCUCCUAACAGGGAGACAACAAAAUGUUUAAUAUUAUUUUGUCACCUUAGGUCGAUCGGUAUCUCACAUUCUUAAAUUAUUAAGGAUUUUAUUUCCUAAGUUUUUUCUAGGUCACACCCAUUACUUUUCCUGGGCCAUUAGCUCAGGUGGUUAGAGCGCACCCCUGAUAAGGGUGAGGUCCCUGGUUCAAGUCCAGGAUGGCCCAUAUCUCUAUGUUGGGGGUAUAGCUCAGUUGGUAGAGCGCCUGCUUUGCAAGCAGGAUGUCAGCGGUUCGAGUCCGCUUACCUCCACUGAUUACAGCCUCUUCCAUAAUUUUCAUUAAGGAAAUGUUUUGAGUAGUGAUCAAAUUCUGAACGAAUCUAGCUUCCUAAUGAAAUUCAUUAAGAUGCUGGACUCAUUGAAUUAAUUUCAUUGUUUUCAGAGAACCUUGACAACUGCAUAGAUUAUUUUUAAAGACAAUAAGCAUCUUUAUGAUGCAGAUUUAUUAUUUGUGCGAAUGCAUUAAAUAACAAUUCUAUUAAGCUGAUGCUUCAAUUAUGAAGUUAUUGGUCAAGCUACAA